rnacentral:misc_RNA from 1 species
CAGCAGUCCCAUCUUUCUCAUCUGUAACACAUCAACAUUAUUGGCACCACAAUACAUUCCUAAAUCCAAUUCCAAUUUCAUGAUCCAAAACACAAACAAAAAUUCAAAUAGGAUGAGAUAACAUCUAUAACAAAUUCAGCCUCAUGCACGUCCAAGGAAACCCAUACCUCAAGCUAAACUAUUUUCAGUCUUGGCAUCUAAUGAAAGAAUGAAGAAAUUGCUCCCAUUAGCUAUUCCAGGUACAACUGGAUCUUAAGAUAUUGUAAUAAUAGACUGAAAGGGUGAGCCUUGAUGCAAUGGUAAGGUUGCUCCAUCGUGAUUGAAAGGUCAUGGGUUCAAAACAUGGAAACAACCUCCUUGCAAUGAAAAAGAAAAGUUGUGUACAUCACUACUGGCACCUCAUAAGGUUAUGUGGACAAUAACAAAAUGGCAUUAGAUUCCAAUGAGACAUCUGUGCCUCACAAAAAUGCCCAUUCUUCCAAGUAGACAUAACCGGUAGUCCAGUUCCUGUUAAGGGUUAGUGCUAACCGGGACCAGACUAAAGGCUCCACCCCAAUUUCGAUUUAAUUCGGUUUUGAUCAAGUGU